GAUGAACGCUGGCGGCAUGCCUAAUACAUGCAAGUCGAACGAGAGGAAGGAAAGCUUGCUUUCCUGAAUCUAGUGGCGAACGGGUGAGUAACACGUAGGUAACCUGCCCAUGUGUCCGGGAUAACUUCUGGAAACGGAUGCUAAAACCGGAUAGGUAGCAGACAAGCAUUUGACUGCUAUUAAAGAGGCCUUGGCCAUGAACAUGGAUGGACCUGCGGUGCAUUAGCUAGUUGGUGAGGUAACGGCCCACCAAGGCGACGAUGCAUAGCCGGCCUGAGAGGGCGGACGGCCACAUUGGGACUGAGACACGGCCCAAACUCCUACGGGAGGCAGCAGUAGGGAAUUUUCGUCAAUGGGGGGAACCCUGAACGAGCAAUGCCGCGUGAGUGAGGAAGGUCUUCGGAUCGUAAAGCUCUGUUGUAAGAGAAAAACGGCACUCAUAGGGAAUGAUGAGUGAGUGAUGGUAUCUUACCAGAAAGUCACGGCUAACUACGUGCCAGCAGCCGCCGUAAAAC
rnacentral:rRNA from 1 species